rnacentral:rRNA from 1 species
GGCGCACGGCUGAGGAACACGUGGGUUAUCUGCCCUGGGGUGGGGGAUAACGCGCCGAAAGGUGCGCUAAUCCCGCAUACGUUUGCACAUUAUAGUGCAAAGAAAGCUUCCAAGCGCCCUAGGAGGAGCCUGCGCCCCAUCACGGUAGUUGGUAGGGUAACGGCCUACCAAGCCUUUGACGGGUCCCUGGUCUGAGAGGACGACCAGGCAGACUGGGACUGAGAUACGGCCCAGACUCCUACGGGAGGCAGCAGCAAGGAAUUUUCGGCAAUGGGCGCAAGCCUGACCGAGCAACACCGCGUGCGGGACGAAGGCCUUCGGGUUGUAAACCGCUUUUGCAAAGGACGAAUUUUUGACGGUACUUUGCGAAUAAGCCCCGGCUAACUCCGUGCCAGCAGCCGCGGUAAGACGGAGGGGGCAAGCGUUGUCCGGACUCACUGGGCGUAAAGCGUGCGUAGGCGGUAGGAUGCGUCGGUACUGAAAGCUCCUUGCUUAACAAGGAAGGGCGUAUCGAUACGAUCCAACUCGAGGAAGUGGGAGGUUGGCAGAAUUCCGGGUGUAGUGGUGAAAUGCGUAGAUAUCCGGAGGAAUACCGGUGGUGUAGACGGCCAACUAAGACUUUCCUGACGCCGAGGCACGAAAGCGUGGGUAGCGAACCGGAUUAGAUACCCGGGUAGUCCACGCAGUAAACUAUGUCGGCUCGGUGUGCGGCGCUGAUUAUACAGCGCGGCGUGCCUAAGCUUACGCGGUAAGCCGACCGCCUGGGGACUACGAGCGCAAGCUUAAAAACUCAAAGGAAUUGACGGGGGCCCGCACAAGCAGCGGAGCGUGUGGUUUAAUUCGACACAACGCGAAGAACCUUACCCAGGCUUGACAUGUUCCUGCAAGCGCACAGAAAUGUGUGACCUUCGAGGGUGGAACACAGGUGCUGCAUGGCUGUCGUCAGCUCGUGUCGUGAGAUGUUGGGUUAAGUCCCGCAACGAGCGCAACCCCCGCCGCCAGUUACAAGUGUCUGGCGGGACAGCCACCUUUUCGGUGGAGGAAGGCGGGGAUGACGUCAAGUCAGCAUGGCCCUUACGCCUGGGGCUACACACACGCUACAAUGACCAUGACAAUGCGUUGCAACUUCGCAAGAAGUAGCUAAUCGCCAAACAUGGUCCCAGUGCAGAUCGGGGGCUGCAACUCGCCCCCGUGAAGAUGGAGUUGCUAGUAACCGCGUAUCAGCUAUGGCGCGGUGAAUACGUGCCCGGGCCUUGUACACACCGCCCGUCACGUCAUGGGAGUUGGUAAUGCCUGAAGUCCGUCAGCUAACCCGCAAGGGAGGCAGCGGCCGAAGGCAGGACUAGCGACUGGGACGAAGUCGUAACAAGGUA